rnacentral:rRNA from 1 species
CCCCCCCUCGAGGUCCAUUAAAAGAGUGCGUAAUAGCUCACUAGUCGAGAGAUCCUGCGCCGAAGAUGUCCGGGGCUAAAACUUACCACCGAAGCUACGGGAUUGCAAUAGCAAUCGGUAGAGGAGCGUCGUAAUCGGGCUGAAGUCGUACCGUAAGGAGCGGUGGACUGAUUACGAGUGAGAAUGUUGGCAUUAGUAGCGAGAUGUAGGUGAGAAUCCUACAGGCCGAAUACCUAAGGUUUCCUCAGGAAGGUUCGUCCUCUGAGGGUUAGUCGGGACCUAAGCCGAGGCCGAAAGGCGUAGGUGAUGGACAACAGGUUGAUAUUCCUGUACCGCCAAUAAGCGUUUGAGAGAUGGAGUGACACAGUAGGAUAAGCUAACCGUACUGUUGGUUAUGUACGGCUAAGCAUUGAGGCAGUCUAAAUAGGCAAAUCCGUUUAGACAAUGCUAGGAUGUGAUGGGGAAGCCCUCCGGGGCGAAGUAGCUGAUUUCACACUGUCAAGAAAAGCUUCUAUCGAGUUUAAAGGCGCCCGUACCGUAAACCGACACAGGUGGGUGAGGAGAGUAUCCUAAGGCCAGCGAGAGAACUAUUGUUAAGGAACUCGGCAAAAUGACCCCGUAACUUAGGGAGAAGGGGUGCCUGUCUAUGACAGGCCGCAGAGAAUAGGCCCAAGCGACUGUUUACCAAAAACACAGGUUUCUGCUAAGUCGCAAGACGAUGUAUAGGAGCUGACGCCUGCCCGGUGCUGGAAGGUUAAGGGGAUCUGUUAGAGCAAUCGAAGCAGUGAACUUAAGCCCCAGUAAACGGCGGCCGUAACUAUAACGGUCCUAAGGUAGCGAAAUUCCUUGUCGGGUAAGUUCCGACCCGCACGAAAGGCGUAACGAUUUGGGCACUGUCUCAACAACAGACUCGGUGAAAUUGUAAUACCGGUGAAGAUGCCGGUUACCUGCGACAGGACGGAAAGACCCCAUGGAGCUUUACUGUAGCUUGACAUUGAGUCUCGGUGCUACAUGUACAGGAUAGGUGGGAGACUAUGAAGCAUGGACGUCAGUCUGUGUGGAGUCAUCCUUGGGAUACCACCCUUGUAGUACUGGGAUUCUAACCAGAGGCCAUGAAUCUGGUCUUGGGACACUGUCAGGUGGACAGUUUGACUGGGGCGGUCGCCUCCCAAAAAGUAACGGAGGCGCUCAAAGGUUCUCUCAGUACGGUCGGAAAUCGUACGAAGAGUGUAAAGGCAAAAGAGAGCUUGAUUGCAAGACAUACAGGUCGAGCAAGGACGAAAGUCGGACUUAGUGAUCCGGUGGUUCCGCAUGGAAGGGCCAUCGCUCAACGGAUAAAAGCUACCCUGGACGGUAUCGAUAAGCUUGAU